UCGGAUUCAAGUGCUGAGAGACUCUUUUAAUAGCCAUAUUACUAGAAAUAACUUGGAUACAACUUGUAGUAUACAACAUAUUGCUAGGCUAAUGAAUGAAAAGACAAAAACAAAGAGGGUCAGGCAAGGUUUAACCUUGUCGGGCAAGGCUGAUCGUCUUGCAACUUCCUAUCUUUGUGGUUUAUCAAGAGGUUUGAAAGCUUAGAAAAAAGGUUGGGAGGUGAG
rnacentral:lncRNA from 1 species